rnacentral:rRNA from 1 species
GAAAGUAAGCAAGGGCGCAUGGCGGAUGCCUUGGCUCUCGGAGGCGAUGAAGGACGUGAUAAGCUGCGACAAGCUUCGGGGAGGUGCAAAUAACCUUUGAUCCGAAGAUUUCCGAAUGGGACAACCCAAUAUCCUGAAGGGAUAUUAUCCUACUUAGUAGGAGGCUAACGCAGGGAACUGAAACAUCUUAGUACCUGCAGGAAAAGAAAAUAAACAAUGAUUCCCCAAGUAGUGGCGAGCGAACGGGGAAGAGCCCAAACCAUUUAUGUUACGGCAUACAUGGGGUUGUAGGACCACGAUAUUGCAUGAAAACAACAGAGAGGAAUGAUCUGGAAAGUUCAACCAUAGAGCAUGAAAGUUGCGUAUUCGAAUGUUGUCGAAGCAUAGUGGUAUCCUGAGUAGCGCGGAGCACGAGGAAUUCUGCGUGAAUCUGCCGGGACCAUCCGGUAAGGCUAAAUACUCCCGAGAGACCGAUAGCGAACCAGUACCGUGAGGGAAAGGUGAAAAGCACUUCGAACAGAAGAGUGAAACAGUCCCUGAAACCGUGCGCCUACAAGCGGUCGGAGCAGCGUAAGCUGUGACGGCGUGCCUUUUGCAUAAUGAACCUACGAGUUGCCGUUGCCGGCAAGGUUAAGGGUGAUGACACCCGAAGCCGAAGCGAAAGCGAGUCUGAAUAGGGCGCCUGAGUCGGCAGUGGCAGACGCGAAACCAAGUGAUCUACCCUUGACCAGGUUGAAGGCUGGGUAACACCAGCUGGAGGACCGAACCAAUAAGCGUUGAAAAGCUUCUGGAUGAGUUGAGGGUAGGGGUGAAAGGCUAAUCAAACUUGGAGAUAGCUCGUACUCCCCGAAAUGCAUUUAGGUGCAGCCUUGCGGGUUACUGAUGUGAGGUAGAGCGACUGAUAAGAUGCGAGGGCUUCACCGCCUAUCAAGUCUUGACAAACUCCGAAUGCGCAUCAGUCCUACCGCAGGAGUGAGGGCAUGGGUGCUAAGGUCCGUGCCCGAGAGGAGAAGAAUCCGGAUCACCUGCUAAGGUCCCGAAAUGACAGCUAAGUUAAACUAACGAAGUCGGACUGCCAUGACAGCUAGGAUGUUGGCUUGGAAGCAGCCAUUCAUUUAAAGAGUGCGUAACAGCUCACUAGUCGAGGAGUCCGGCGUGGAUAAUAAUCGGGUAUGAAGUUGUCUACCGAAGCAGUGGGAUCAUGUAAAUGAUCGGUAGGGGAGCAUUCCACUCCGCGUUGAAGGCGUACCGUGAGGUAUUCUGGAGCGUGUGGAAAAGCAAAUGUAGGUAUAAGUAACGAUAAAGCAGGUGAGAAACCUGCUCGCCGCAAGACCAAGGUUUCCUGAUCAACGCUAAUCGGAUCAGGGUCAGUCGGGUCCUAAGGCUCAGCCGAACGGCGAGGCCGAUGGCAGAAACGGUUAAUAUUCCGUUACUACCUUUACGGGCGAUGUGGAGACGCAGAAGUGACAGUGCCGCCAUCUGACGGAAUAGAUGGUUGAAGGGUGUAGAAGCUGAUCGUGGCAGGCAAAUCCACCACGUGAUUCGAACCUGAGAGUAUGCCGCGUCCUCCGGGACAAGGCAAUAGUGUACGUAAUCAUACUGCCGAGAAAAUCCGCUAAGCUAUACCGUAAAGGUACCCGUACCGUAAACGGACACACGUGGUCGGGAUGAAUAUUCUAAGGCGCUUGAGUGAUUCACGGUUAAGGAACUAGGCAAACUGACCCUGUAACUUCGGGAUAAAGGGUCCCUCCUCGCAAGAGAGGGCGCAGAGAAUAGGUCCAGGCAACUGUUUAACAAAAACACAGGGCUGUGCGAAAUCGAAAGAUCCGGUAUACAGCCUGACACCUGCCCGGUGCUGGAAGGUUAAGAGGAGACGUCAUCGCAAGAGAAGCGUUGAAUUGAAGCCCCAGUAAACGGCGGCCGUAACUAUAACGGUCCUAAGGUAGCGAAAUUCCUUGUCGGGUAAGUUCCGACCUGCACGAAUGGUGUAA